CAGAGGUGCCGAGCGUUAGGCGGAAUCACUGGGCUUAAAGCGUGUGUAGGCGGAUCGUUAAGUGCCUUGUGAAAUCCCACGGCUCAACCGUGGAACUGCUUGGCAUACUGGCGAUCUUGAGCCACUUAGGGGCUACCGGAACAAAUGGUGGAGCGGUGAAAUGCGUAGAUAUCAUUUGGAACGCCAAUGGUGAAAACAGGUAGCUGGGAGUGUGCUGACGCUGAGACACGAAAGCCAGGGGGAGCAAACGGGAUUAGAUACCCCGGUAGUCCUGGCUGUAAACGAUGUCGACUAGAUCGUAGUGGCUCUGACGCCAUUACGGUCGAAGCAAAAGUGCUAAGUCGACCGCCUGGGAGGUACGGUCGCAAGGCUAA
rnacentral:rRNA from 1 species